rnacentral:rRNA from 1 species
UGGGGAAUAUUGGACAAUGGGGGCAACCCUGAUCCAGCCAUGCCGCGUGAGUGAUGAAGGCCUUCGGGUUGUAAAGCUCUUUUGGCGGGGACGAUGAUGACGGUACCCGCAGAAUAAGCCCCGGCUAACUUCGUGCCAGCAGCCGCGGUAAGACGAAGGGGGCUAGCGUUGUUCGGAAUUACUGGGCGUAAAGCGAGUGUAGGCGGUUGCCGUAGUCAGGUGUGAAAGCCUUGAGCUCAACUCAAGAAAUGCACUUGAUACUGGGUGACUAGAGGACCGGAGAGGAUAGUGGAAUUCCCAGUGUAGUGGUGAAAUACGUAGAGAUUGGGAAGAACACCAGUGGCGAAGGCGGCUAUCUGGACGGUUACUGACGCUAAGACUCGAAAGCGUGGGGAGCAAACAGGAUUAGAUACCCUGGUAGUCCACGCCGUAAACGAUGGGUGCUAGACGUUGUCGAGCUUGCUCGUCAGUGUCGCAGCUAACGCGUUAAGCACCCCGCCCUGGGGGAGUACGGCCGCAAAGGGUUUGAAAACUUUAAAAGGAAUUUGACGGGGGUCAUAGCUGUUUCCU